AGCCGCAUUGAACAUGCUGGAACACCAAGAUGGCGCCCGAGAAUCCCGUGCUCCGAGCGCCCCGCCCCCCCCACGACUGCCCCCGAAGUCCCGCGAGAUGCGAGACUUCGGGCGGCAAGAAGCGUGAACAACUAGACG